AAUAGAUACCCUGGUAGUCCACGCCGUAAACGAUGGAUGCUAGCUGUUAUGCGUAUCGACCCGUGUAGUAGCGAAGCUAACGCGUUAAGCAUCCCGCCUGGGGAGUACGAACGCAAGUUUAAAACUCAAAGGAAUUGACGGGGGACCCGCACAAGCGGUAGAGCGUGUUCUUUAAUUCGAGGCUAAGCGAAGAACCUUACCAGGGCUUGACAUCCUUGGAAUUUCUCCGAAAGGAGAGAGUACUUUAUUGGACCAAGUGACAGGUGCUGCAUGGCCGUCGUCAGCUCGUGUCGUGAGAUGUUUGGUUAAGUCCAUUAACGAGCGCAACCCUUAUGAAUAGUUGUAUUUUUCUAUUCAGACUGCCCCGGUAACGGGGAGGAAGGGGGGGAUGAUGUCAGGUCAGUAUUGCCCUUACGCCCUGGGCUAGAAACGCGCUACAAUGGCCGGUACAAUGCGCUGCCAACCCGCGAGGGGGAGCAAAUCGCAUCAAAGCCGGUCCCAGUUCGGAUAAGAGGCUGAAACUCGCCUCUUUGAAGCCGGAAUCGCUAGUAAUCGUA
rnacentral:rRNA from 1 species